rnacentral:rRNA from 1 species
GCGUCCGAUUAGGUAGUUGGAGGGGUAACGGCCCACCAAGCUUAUGAUCGGUAGCCGACGUGAGAGGGUGAUCGGCCACAUUGGAACUGAGAUACGGUCAAAACUCCUACGGGAGGCAGCAGUGGGGAAUACUGGGCAAUGGGGGAAACCCUGACCCAGCAACGCCGCGUGAAGGAAGAAGGUUUUCGGAUUGUAAACUUCUGUCCUUGGUGAAGAGAAGAAGACGGUAGCCGAGGAGGAAGCCCCGGCUAACUACGUGCCAGCAGCCGCGGUAAUACGUAGGGGGCAAGCGUUGUCCGGAAUGAUUGGGCGUAAAGGGCGCGUAGGCGGCUUUAUAAGUCUGGAGUGAAAGUCCUCUUUUCAAGGGAGGAAUUGCUUUGGAAACUAUAGAGCUUGAGUGCAGGAGAGGUUAUCGGAAUUCCCGGUGUAGCGGUGAAAUGCGUAGAUAUCGGGAGGAACAUCGGUGGCGAAGGCGGGUAACUGGACUGCAACUGACGCUGAGGCGCGAAAGUGUGGGGAGCAAACAGGAUUAGAUACCCUGGUAGUCCACACGGUAAACGAUGAAUGCUAGGUGUAGGAGGUAUCGACCCCUUCUGUGCCGCAGUUAACACAAUAA